rnacentral:rRNA from 1 species
CCUACGGGCGGCAGCAGUGAGGAAUAUUGGUCAAUGGCCGUAAGGCUGAACCAGCCAAGUCGCGUGAAGGAAGAAGGAUCUAUGGUUUGUAAACUUCUUUUAUAGGGGAAUAAAGGUAUCCACGUGUGGAUAGUUGCAUGUACCCUAUGAAUAAGCAUCGGCUAACUCCGUGCCAGCCGCCGCGGUAAUACGGAGGAUGCGAGCGUUAUCCGGAUUUAUUGGGUUUAAAGGGUGCGUAGGUUGUUUUUUAAGUCAGCGGUGAAAGUUUGUGGCUGAACCCUAGAACUGCCGUUGAAACUGGCAGACUUGAGUGUGUUUGAGGUAGGCGGAAUGCGUGGUGUAGCGGUGAAAUGCAUAGAUAUCACGCAGAACUCCGAUUGCGAAGGCAGCUUACUAGGCCAUAACUGACACUGAAGCACGAAAGCGUGGGGAUCAAACAGGAUUAGAUACCCUUGUAGUC